UACGUAGGGGGCGAGCGUUGUCCGGAUUUAUUGGGCGUAAAGAGCUCGUAGGCGGUCUGUCGCGUCGGAUGUGAAAACCCAGGGCUCAACUCUGGGCCUGCAUUCGAUACGGGCAGACUAGAGUACGGCAGGGGAGACUGGAAUUCCUGGUGUAGCGGUGAAAUGCGCAGAUAUCAGGAGGAACACCGGUGGCGAAGGCGGGUCUCUGGGCCGUAACUGACGCUGAGGAGCGAAAGCAUGGGGAGCGAACAGG
rnacentral:rRNA from 1 species